UGAAGAUGGCACACACACACUGGCACA
rnacentral:piRNA from 1 species